rnacentral:rRNA from 1 species
CGGGAAACUGGGGAUAAUACCCGAUGGUCCUCGGCUGCUGGAAUGCAUCGCGGCCGAAAGCUCCGGCGCCUAAGGAUGGGUCUGCGGCCUAUCAGGUAGUAGUGGGUGUAGCGUACCUACUAGCCUACGACGGGUACGGGUUGUGAGAGCAAGAGCCCGGAGAUGGAUUCUGAGACACGAAUCCAGGCCCUACGGGGUGCAGCAGGCGCGAAAACUUUACAAUGCUGGCAACAGCGAUAAGGGAACCUCGAGUGCCAGGUUACAAAUCUGGCUGUCGUGAUGCCUAAAAAGCAGUGCAUAGCAAGGGCCGGGCAAGACCGGUGCCAGCCGCCGCGGAACA